AUUGAACGCUGGCGGCAUGCCUUACACAUGCAAGUCGAGCGCGAAAGGGGGGCAACCCCCGAGUAGAGCGGCGGACGGGUGAGUAAUACAUCGGAACGUACCCAGCAGUGGGGGACAACCUCGAGAAAUCGAGGCUAAUACCGCAUACGACCCACGGGUGAAAGCGGGGGCCCGCAAGGCCUCGCGCUAUUGGAUCGGCCGAUGUCCGAUUAGCUAGUUGGCGGGGUAAGAGCCCACCAAGCCGACGAUCUGUAGCUGGUCUGAGGGGACGACCAGCCACACUGGGACUGAGACACGGCCCAGACUCCUACGGGAGGCAGCAGUGGGGAAUUUUGGACAAUGGGCGCAAGCCUGAUCCAGCCAUUCCGCGUGCAGGAUGAAGGCCUUCGGGUUGUAAACUGCUUUUGUACGGAGCGAAAAGGCUCUCUCUAAUACAGGGGGCUCAUGACGGUACCGUAAGAAUAAGCACCGGCUAACUACGUGCCAGCCGCCGCGGUAACAC
rnacentral:rRNA from 1 species